AUACGGAGGGUGCGAGCGUUAAUCGGAAUUACUGGGCGUAAAGCGCGCGUAGGCGGCUACUUAAGUCAGAUGUGAAAUCCCCGGGCUCAACCUGGGAACUGCAUCUGAUACUGGGUAGCUAGAGUUUAGGAGAGGGAAGUAGAAUUUCAGGUGUAGCGGUGAAAUGCAUAGAGAUCUGAAGGAAUACCAGUGGCGAAGGCGGCUUCCUGGCCUAAAACUGACGCUGAGGUGCGAAAGCGUGGGUAGCAAACGGGAUUAGAAACCCCGGUAGUCC
rnacentral:rRNA from 1 species